AUUGAACGCUGGCGGCAGGCCUAACACAUGCAAGUCGAGCGGAGCGGCGGACGGGCGAGUAAUGCCUAGGAAUCUGCCUGGUUGUGGGGGAUAACUGACGGAUACGGGCGCUAAUUACGCACACUUUCCGUUGAGUCUGGGUGGGAUUAGCUAGCUGGUGGGUGAAAGGCCUACCAAGGCGACGAUCCGUACCUGGGCUGAGAGGAUGAUCAGUCACACUGGAACUGAGACACGGUCCAGACUCCUACGGGAGGCAGCAGUGGGGAAUAGUGGACAAUGGGCGAAAGCCUGAUCCAGCCAUGCCGCGUGUGUGAAGAAGGUCUUCGGAUUGUAAAGCACUUUAAGUUGGGAGGCGUUACCAACAGAAUAAGCACCGGCUAACUUCGUGCCAGCCGCCGCGGUAAUUC
rnacentral:rRNA from 1 species